UACGAAGGGGGCUAGCGUUGUUCGGAAUUACUGGGCGUAAAGCGCACGUAGGCGGACUCUUAAGUCAGGGGUGAAAUCCCGGGGCUCAACCUCGGAACUGCCUUUGAUACUGUGAGUCUCGAGACCGGAAGAGGUGAGUGGAAUUCCUAGUGUAGAGGUGAAAUUCGUAGAUAUUAGGAAGAACACCAGUGGCGAAGGCGGCUCACUGGCCCGUUUCUGACGCUCAGGCACGAAAGCGUGGGGAGCAAACAGG
rnacentral:rRNA from 1 species